GGGGUGCUCGAGUGGCGAACGGGUGAGUAACACGUGAGUAACCUGCCCUUGACUUUGGGAUAACUUCAGGAAACUGGGGCUAAUACCGGAUAGGAGCUCCUGCUGCAUGGUGGGGGUUGGAAAGUUUCGGCGGUUGGGGAUGGACUCGCGGCUUAUCAGCUUGUUGGUGGGGUAGUGGCUUACCAAGGCUUUGACGGCUAGCCGGCCUGAGAGGGUGACCGGCCACAUUGGGACUGAGAUACGGCCCGG
rnacentral:rRNA from 1 species